rnacentral:rRNA from 1 species
UUAAGUUAUUAAGGGCGCACGGUGGAUGCCUUGGCACUAGAAGCCGAUGAAGGACGUUACUAACGACGAUAUGCUUUGGGGAGCUGUAAGUAAGCUUUGAUCCAGAGAUUUCCGAAUGGGGAAACCCAGCAUGAGUUAUGUCAUGUUAUCGAUAUGUGAAUACAUAGCAUAUCAGAAGGCACACCCGGAGAACUGAAACAUCUUAGUACCCGGAGGAAGAGAAAGAAAAUUCGAUUCCCUUAGUAGCGGCGAGCGAAACGGGAAGAGCCCAAACCAACAAGCUUGCUUGUUGGGGUUGUAGGACACUCUAUACGGAGUUACAAAGGACGACAUUAGACGAAUCAUCUGGAAAGAUGAAUCAAAGAAGGUAAUAAUCCUGUAGUCGAAAAUGUUGUCUCUCUUGAGUGGAUCCUGAGUACGACGGAGCACGUGAAAUUCCGUCGGAAUCUGGGAGGACCAUCUCCUAAGGCUAAAUACUCUCUAGUGACCGAUAGUGAACCAGUACCGUGAGGGAAAGGUGAAAAGCACCCCGGAAGGGGAGUGAAAUAGAACCUGAAACCGUGUGCUUACAAGUAGUCAGAGCCCGUUAAUGGGUGAUGGCGUGCCUUUUGUAGAAUGAACCGGCGAGUUACGAUUUGAUGCAAGGUUAAGCAGUAAAUGUGGAGCCGUAGCGAAAGCGAGUCUGAAUAGGGCGUUUAGUAUUUGGUCGUAGACCCGAAACCAGGUGAUCUACCCUUGGUCAGGUUGAAGUUCAGGUAACACUGAAUGGAGGACCGAACCGACUUACGUUGAAAAGUGAGCGGAUGAACUGAGGGUAGCGGAGAAAUUCCAAUCGAACCUGGAGAUAGCUGGUUCUCUCCGAAAUAGCUUUAGGGCUAGCCUCAAGUGAUGAUUAUUGGAGGUAGAGCACUGUUUGGACGAGGGGCCCCUCUCGGGUUACCGAAUUCAGACAAACUCCGAAUGCCAAUUAAUUUAACUUGGGAGUCAGAACAUGGGUGAUAAGGUCCGUGUUCGAAAGGGAAACAGCCCAGACCACCAGCUAAGGUCCCAAAAUAUAUGUUAAGUGGAAAAGGAUGUGGCGUUGCCCAGACAACUAGGAUGUUGGCUUAGAAGCAGCCAUCAUUUAAAGAGUGCGUAAUAGCUCACUAGUCGAGUGACACUGCGCCGAAAAUGUACCGGGGCUAAACAUAUUACCGAAGCUGUGGAUUGUCCUUUGGACAAUGGUAGGAGAGCGUUCUAAGGGCGUUGAAGCAUGAUCGUAAGGACAUGUGGAGCGCUUAGAAGUGAGAAUGCCGGUGUGAGUAGCGAAAGACGGGUGAGAAUCCCGUCCACCGAUUGACUAAGGUUUCCAGAGGAAGGCUCGUCCGCUCUGGGUUAGUCGGGUCCUAAGCUGAGGCCGACAGGCGUAGGCGAUGGAUAACAGGUUGAUAUUCCUGUACCACCUAUAAUCGUUUUAAUCGAUGGGGAGACGCAGUAGGAUAGGCGAAGCGUGCGAUUGGAUUGCACGUCUAAGCAGUAAGGCUGAGUAUUAGGCAAAUCCGGUACUCGUUAAGGCUGAGCUGUGAUGGGGAGAAGACGUUGUGUCUUCGAGUCGUUGAUUUCACACUGCCGAGAAAAGCCUCUAGAUAGAAAAUAGGUGCCCGUACCGCAAACCGACACAGGUAGUCAAGAUGAGAAUUCUAAGGUGAGCGAGCGAACUCUCGUUAAGGAACUCGGCAAAAUGACCCCGUAACUUCGGGAGAAGGGGUGCUCUUUAGGGUUAACGCCCAGAAGAGCCGCAGUGAAUAGGCCCAAGCGACUGUUUAUCAAAAACACAGGUCUCUGCUAAACCGUAAGGUGAUGUAUAGGGGCUGACGCCUGCCCGGUGCUGGAAGGUUAAGAGGAGUGGUUAGCUUCUGCGAAGCUACGAAUCGAAGCCCCAGUAAACGGCGGCCGUAACUAUAACGGUCCUAAGGUAGCGAAAUUCCUUGUCGGGUAAGUUCCGACCCGCACGAAAGGCGUAACGAUUUGGGCACUGUCUCAACGAGAGACUCGGUGAAAUCAUAGUACCUGUGAAGAUGCAGGUUACCCGCGACAGGACGGAAAGACCCCGUGGAGCUUUACUGUAGCCUGAUAUUGAAAUUCGGCACAGCUUGUACAGGAUAGGUAGGAGCCUUUGAAACGUGAGCGCUAGCUUACGUGGAGGCGCUGGUGGGAUACUACCCUAGCUGUGUUGGCUUUCUAACCCGCACCACUUAUCGUGGUGGGAGACAGUGUCAGGCGGGCAGUUUGACUGGGGCGGUCGCCUCCUAAAAGGUAACGGAGGCGCUCAAAGGUUCCCUCAGAAUGGUUGGAAAUCAUUCAUAGAGUGUAAAGGCAUAAGGGAGCUUGACUGCGAGACCUACAAGUCGAGCAGGGUCGAAAGACGGACUUAGUGAUCCGGUGGUUCCGCAUGGAAGGGCCAUCGCUCAACGGAUAAAAGCUACCCCGGGGAUAACAGGCUUAUCUCCCCCAAGAGUUCACAUCGACGGGGAGGUUUGGCACCUCGAUGUCGGCUCAUCGCAUCCUGGGGCUGUAGUCGGUCCCAAGGGUUGGGCUGUUCGCCCAUUAAAGCGGUACGCGAGCUGGGUUCAGAACGUCGUGAGACAGUUCGGUCCCUAUCCGUCGUGGGCGUAGGAAAUUUGAGAGGAGCUGUCCUUAGUACGAGAGGACCGGGAUGGACAUACCUCUGGUGUACCAGUUGUCGUGCCAACGGCAUAGCUGGGUAGCUAUGUGUGGACGGGAUAAGUGCUGAAAGCAUCUAAGCAUGAAGCCCCCCUCAAGAUGAGAUUUCCCAACUUCGGUUAUAAGAUCCCUCAAAGAUGAUGAGGUUAAUAGGUUCGAGGUGGAAGCAUGGUGACAUGUGGAGCUGACGAAUACUAAUCGAUCGAAGACUUAAUCAA